rnacentral:lncRNA from 10 species
GUCUGGGCAACAGAGCGAGACUCCGUCUCAAAAAAAAAACACCACAAUGGCGCCCAGUGACAUCUUGGCCAGCGUGCAGGGUGCAUCCCUCAGUCCGGCAUUUGCAUUGCUGGGCACAGAUUGCUGUUGGUCACUGCAAAGAAUCAGAAAACCUCCACACAUUCACCAAGAGGAGAAUGGACAGGUACACCGUCGUGUAUUCAUAGAUGGGUUCUGCACGAUUACAGCUGACCUGCGGCUGUGAGCCACCAAUGGCGAAGUCCCGGACACAGCAACCACAUUGGGGUGGGGGUGAAAGAGUUGCAAAAGGAAAAAUCAUGCUACUUACAUGAAAUUUAAACAAUAGUUUUAUAUUUUAAAAUAUCACUUGCACCUGGAUAUACAGAACACACACUUAUGAUGAAACGUCCCUGCCAGCAGAGCAGAGGAUUCCACCACAAAGGAGCUGCACAGAGCCCUCAACUCAGAUGAAGCCAUCACGUUGUAUUUCUUCUUCUUCUUCUUCUUCUUUUUUUCUCAGAUAGGGUCUCACUGUGUUGCCCAGGCUGGAGUGCAAUGACACCACCACGGCUGACUGCAGCCUCAACCUCCCAGGCUCAGGUGAUCCUCCCAUCUCAGCCUCCUGAGUAGCUGGAACUACAGGUGCCCACUGCCAUGCCUGGCUAACUUUUGUUUUUGUUUUUGUUUUUGAGACGGAGUCUUGUUCUGUCGCCGAGCUGGAGUGCAGUGAUGAUCUUGGCUCACUGCAACCUCCGA